GGCAAGUUAUGUUAUGUUUUAAUUAAAGCCUUUUGUUAGUUCGACUUUCGGAUGCAACUAGGGCUAAACCGGAAAACAAAACAAGUGCACCAAACCACCAUAAACAAGGAAGGAGCUCUCCAUAAAAGAGCCAUCCGAAAAGAGACUAAAAUUAACUGUUAUAAGAAAGUUGACCGAGAAGUUUAUAAUAAAGGGUUCUAAAGAAUUAGCACUUUUUGCCAACGAUUUAGAGUAAAGGGACCACAUGAAACCGUUCAACAAAAGUGAGAGGCCAAAAAAAGUAGUGCUUAAACAAUGUGUGAAUUGCUCAGGUUGUUCCCAAAAAGCUUUAGAUUGAUGAGUGGAAAUAAUACUUCUUCAAGAAACUUUAUAAAAAAAUAUAUAAUAAACCUAAACUAAUAGAAAACAAGAAAAUAUAAAGUUAUGUAAUCAUGAUAAUAACCAAACCAGUUUGCUUAAUACACCAGUCAAAGC